GACGCAUAGCUCAGUUGGUAGAGCAGCUGACUCUUAAUCAGCGGGUCCUAGGUUCGAGCCCUAGUGCGUCCACCA
rnacentral:tRNA from 1 species